CAGGCGGGGCGGCGCUGCCGUCCCCGCACCCGUUAAAAGGCGCAGCGCCCAUAGCGCCGUCCUUUUUGGUCUUUGUAAGGAUGAGGUGCGGUGUCGUGUGCGAUCCCCCACGCUGUGCCUCCCCAUGACUACAGCCGUGGUUGGUGAAGACGCGUGUUGUCUCCAUGAGACCGCUUUGGGCAUCCUGCCGUACUGCCCCUUGCGUGGAAUUUGGGAAACGGCAAUCCGCAGCCUGCGCGGAACAAAGUACUGGAGCCCGCAGGGAAUUCUUGAGCAAAAGAUGCGCCGCGCUCAAAUUCAAAAUCUGUGAAGUGUCAAAUCUGCUCACAGGGUGCUGCUCCAGACGGGGACUGGCGGAUUUUCCCAAGCGCCUGCCCAAACGCGGCAGGAAGGAGUCGCGUCCCUUCCCGACCUGUCCGCUCACAUCAGGAAAAAGCAUUACGAACUGUAACGCCUGUUACCAGCGCUCCGAGGAUGGCUUCGCUUGUAAUGGAUAAGCCAGGAAAGCUGUUCAGAUAAACUGCAGCAGGCUUAUGAUCUCAGGAGAGCUUUAAUUUUAAGUGUCUUGUUAAAGCCUGUUUUGUUUUGUUUUGUUUUGUUUGCCAGAAGUGUUUCCUUAGCUUCAGCAAAAUAUUUUCCAGCGCUUCAAUCCCUAUUUUCUAGUGCAACUAAAUGGCAGGGAUCCAAGUUGCAAAACCAGUGAUAUCUGCAUCAUUUUGCUUACUGAAGACAGGCUGAAAUCCAGCCGGGGUUAUUCUGUCUGCUGUGGGGCUAAACUACUGCAAGGAGAACGGGCUAAACGAAACAUGAUAGGUAGACAGAUAGCUGCGCCGAGAAACAGCAGACCUUUCAAAAAGAGGUAGAAAGUGACUGAUGCUGCUGCGAAGGCACACCACAGCAGCCGGAUGAGCCUUACAAAGCAGCUCAGAAGAGCUGUGAGCGAACAAGCAUGAAUGUCAGUCCUGCCGCCCCUGAAUGGCCAUUGGUCACAGGAAUGCUGAAAGGAAAUAUGAGACAUGCACUCAGCGUGGUGAGGGACUUUACCAAAUAGAGCCAGCUGUCUGGAGAACAUCACUAGCAGAAGCUGGCAUGCACUGAUUUCUUGCUUGUGGAAGUAGACGUCUGGAAUUAAGUUUGUUAUGAAAUGUGGUUCAGCUGGGAAAGAUGUUGAAAUGAGGCAUCCUGUAUAUUGCUGUAUACUAUAAGAAGCCAGGAGAAAGGAGGCGUUGGCUCAAGAUGUAGCAUAAGGUCUGUGGAAUGGCUCUGCAGAAACUGAGUUCUGCAAAACUUGGAUGUUUUUGGGAAAGAGACAAAUAGAACAGAUGGGAGGAAGAAUAAUCCCUUCUAUCUCUAUUUUCCACUUCUCAUUGGAAAAUUGUAUCAUUGCAAGAUUAAGUAAAAACUGAAAUUAGCUAAUGAGAAACUGAAGAUUCUCUAUAUGAGACUCCCUAAGAUUUUGGCUGUGCGAAGAGUCUUGGGAAGGAAUAUUUUAACUAUUAUUUGGAAUAGGUAGUCAUGAAAAGGAAUUUUUGCACUUUUAUUCACAUUGACUGCCAAGAUGAAGGAGCUGAUUCCACCAACUUCUUAAGUUCUCUUCUGAGGAAUGCUUAUGGCAGCACUUGUUACUCCACCUGACAACAUCUAUUAGGCAGCAGAAUGUAUUUCUUCUGGUCUGCACCAAAUCUUUGGCGUUACAGCACUAUAGUAAGACAGUUAUGUUCUAUGGGCCCCAUAAGAUCAUUAGAUGACCCAGAGAGCAAUCUGUACUUGUACACAACUAUCCUAUCCUCUGAAUGUGCCAGACAGAAUAAUCAAGUAUGAAAAAAUGAUUAGCUUCUGGUGGACCUAGAUGUUAGAACUGGUAUGUAUAUAUAACAUGUAGUGUUGGAAAGCGGGUUUUUAAGACCCUGUAAAAGGGAGAAGAAAUAAUGGACCUGAUUUAAGAGCCAGAGGGGUAUGUGCUGGGAUAGGAAAUUCUUGGCUGUGAGAGUAGGGGGGGAUUAGAUCUGUGGUCAAAAGUCUCAGUAGAAAGGAGUUCAUUACUACCAUCUCACAAGAAAAGAAUAGCAAAAAGCUUUAUGAAACCUCAAAGAACUGAUGUUCUACCAAGGUCAGACAGCCUCUGCCACCAUCCAAAACUGAGCCAGAAACCAAAUAACCCAGAUGUAUUUGCAGAUGUGCAAGUAAUUAUUCUAGGGCAACCAUGUUGAUCACAGUUAGCUUUUGGGUAUAAAACUGAAAAAAUAUUAUUAUCUGAUGAUGUGAUUCGUGGAGCCUGAUUUUCUGUGAAAGGAUCUGAUCAGAUAGUAUUUAAUCUUAAGAGGUAUUUAAAAUUGAUUUAUCACAAACAAAUUGAUUUGAUUCUGCAAGAUGCUCUGGGCUGUGCUUACAUCUAAGAUACAGGUCACCGUGUGAGAUGGCAUUUUGAAACUUUAUUAGCAUUUAAAUAAAAAGUGGAGGUAAUAUCAGUGAUACUAUAUUGCUGAGCAUCAUGCUCACCAACACAAGAGUGUCUUAGUUUUCAUAAGUUUGUUUUUAAACCAAAAUGCCUCAAGGCUUGCAUGCAUCAUCACAACCUCUGUAGUGGAGAUGGCUAUCUACUAGGUGGGUAUUACGACUGAAAUGGGUAUUAAGAGAGAAAAAGGUUUCUAAGUGCUGAGCUCAGAGAUGAUGAGUGUAAGACGCUCCAAUUUCACUCCUUGCUCAGAUAUGAGGAUGCUGAAGAUGAGAGCUUUAUAUCUGCAAUACCCUGGUAAAACAACUCAUUCAAUUGGAUGUAUAAAUAUUUAUUUGUAUGUGUCUUGUGUGCUCUUCAGUGAAAAAUACAGCUACAAAAAUGUCACAAACAAGCAUACUGAUAGCAAGUGCAUUCCUGUUUCACUAGUUUUUGCCAGACUUCUAUGAUGGUCAGUGCAUCAAUGGACAAUGGAAGAGCCACUGAUGUCACCUGUCAAAAGUUCAGUAAGGCCUUUGACACUAUCCUGCAUAACAUCCUUCUCUCUAAAUUGGAAAUACAGGUAUUUGGUGGGUGGACUGUUCAGUGGAUGAGGAACCGGUUGCAAAUUCUUAUCAGUAGUGGUCAGUGGAGAUCAGUGACAAAUGGUGUCCAUCAGGGGUCUGUACUGAGACUGAUUCUCUUUAAUCUUUUGAGUUGGAAGGGACUCUUAAAGAUCACCUAGUCCAACUCCCCUGCAAUGAAAAGUGACAUCUGCAGCUAGGUCAGAGUGCUCACAGCCUGCUCCAGCCUGACCUUGACUGUCUCCAAUGACAGAGCAUCCACCACAUCUCUGGGCAACCACUUCCACUGCCUUUUUUACAAUAAAGCAUUGGAACAGGUUGGCCAGAGAGGUGGUGGAUGCCCUGCCCCAUCCCUGCAUACACUCAAGGUCAUGCUGGGCUGAGCUCUGAGCAACUUGAUGCAGCAAUAGAAAUCCUUGUCCGUUGCUGGGGAGUUGGACUAGAUGACCUUUAAAGGUCCCUUCCAACUCAAACAACUCUGUGAUUCUAUAACUGGGAGAAAACAGUGUCAAAUAAAAGCUAAGAAAACAUU